UGGGGAAUAUUGGACAAUGGGCGAAAGCCUGAUCCAGCCAUGCCGCGUGAGUGACGAAGGCCUUAGGGUUGUAAAACUCUUUCGCCGAGGACGAUAAUGACGGUACUCGGAGAAGAAGCUCCGGCUAACUUCGUGCCAGCAGCCGCGGUAAUACGAAGGGGGCUAGCGUUGUUCGGAUUUACUGGGCGUAAAGCGCAUGUAGGCGGGCCGUUAAGUUAGGGGUGAAAUCCCGAGGCUCAACCUCGGAACUGCCUCUAAAACUGGCGGCCUGGACCUAAGUAGAGGCAAGUGGAAUUGCGAGUGUAGAGGUGAAAUUCGUAGAUAUUCGCAGGAACACCAGUGGCGAAGGCGACUUGCUGGACUUAUGGUGACGCUGAGAUGCGAAAGCGUGGGGAGCAAACAGGAUUAGAUACCCCCGUAGUCCCUGAGCGGGCUGGCAAGGCGCAU
rnacentral:rRNA from 1 species